GGGGGGACCAUCCUCCAAGGCUAAAUACUCCUGACUGACCGAUAGUGAACCAGUACCGUGAGGGAAAGGCGAAAAAGACCCCGGCGAGGGGAGUGAAACAGAACCUGAAACCGUGUACGUACAAGCAGUGGGAGCCUUCGUAAGAGGGUGACUGCGUACCUUUUGUAUAAUGGGUCAGCGACUUAUAUUCUGUAGCAAGGUUAACCGUAUAGGGGAGCCGAAGGGAAACCGAGUCUUAACCGGGCGUUAAGUUGCAGGGUAUAGACCCGAAACCCGGUGAUCUAGCCAUGGGCAGGUUGAAGGUUGGGUAACACUAACUGGAGGACCGAACCGACUAAUGUUGAAAAAUUAGCGGAUGACCUGUGGCUGGGGG
rnacentral:rRNA from 1 species